UAGGGAAUCUUCGGCAAUGGACGAAAGUCUGACCGAGCAACGCCGCGUGAGUGAAGAAGGUUUUCGGAUCGUAAAACUCUGUUGUUAGAGAAGAACAAGGACGUUAGUAACUGAACGUCCCCUGACGGUAUCUAACCAGAAAGCCACGGCUAACUACGUGCCAGCAGCCGCGGUAAUACGUAGGUGGCAAGCGUUGUCCGGAUUUAUUGGGCGUAAAGCGAGCGCAGGCGGUUUCUUAAGUCUGA
rnacentral:rRNA from 1 species